GCUGAUUGUCAGGUUUCAGCACUAAGGACAGUCAGAAACGUGAGAAACACGUGCACCCGAGGCGAGUCUGCUGAUUACGCUGAUCCCUCACGGCAGCGGGAGUGAAGAGGGAAAUAAAAACCCCUGAGGAGCAGACGCAGUGGUCGAGAGCUCUCCAGUUACAGUUAAGGCUCUCGCUGAGCCGAAGCUCUUCUCUCUUUCCAGAGGAGUGAUUAGACACGGAUGCCUCAGGACCACCGAUCCCACAGAGACCCAGAACGACGCGGAACUCUGGACACCUAGAGCCUUCUCCACACUCCUCACUUUCACACUCGGUUUCAUGACAUUCUUUAUCACUCUGGGGUUUAUACUUAACUGCAAUCUGGGUUCUUUAUGUUCUUCACAGUUCUCUGCCUCCUAGAACUGCUAAAGUUCCUUCCAGAGGAACAAGUGAAGAGUUCUGAAUGUGUAGAUUAGUCUCAGCCUAGACAUAUCAUUUCUACACUUUUCUGGCCACAAGCUUCAGGAUUUUGAAGGCUGAAAUCUGAUUGGCUCUCCACACUUCCUCCUCAUAAACAAACAUUUUUGUAUGCCAUGGCAAACUGAGCGUUUCAGAGACGUCUGAAAGUGUUAGUGUUAAUUUACAGUUAUUUAUUGAUGAAAAGUAACAGAGUCUGAUUGAUUCAUUUUCUAUAACAGCAGCUGCAAAUCACAGGUUUAUAUUAAUGCGCUCGUUCUAGUGUAUUAUCGUUUCUAUAGUAACAUCUCAUUCACAGGGGCUCGUACGGCAAAAUAAUGGAUUUAAAAAACCUCUGAUGUGGAGUUCAUUCAGUUUUCUUUCUGUAAGGUGAUGUUUAUGUAACAUUGAUGGAAGGAGUCUCCAGUGUCAGUGCUUUGUAACAGUCAGAGGUAAAGCUGUAACUUUAAGUUUUCCAACGUCUUCAGGAAAGAGGAGUUUACGCUGCUAUAACUGUUGCUGUGAAAUCAUCCAGAGAGCUCUUCAAUCACAGGCUAAAAAUGAAAGCGGAGAAAUGAAAUGAGACAGACAGUGGUUGAGUGUGUGCCCGAGCGAUGUCAAACACAUCUCAAGACGUUCGAGAUUCACCCUGGGGAAAAAAGGACACAGAUCAGGAGCGACCAAUCGGCUCGGUUUAUCACAUCCAGCGCCACCAAUAACGUCCUUCAUGCGCUUAUGAUGGAAUAAUUUCUGCUCACUUUCAUCCUGCAUGUUUAUAUUGAAGAAAGGCCAGGGUAAAAUGAGGAAGAAGAGGGCAAGACGGGGGCAAGACGAGGGCAAGACGGGGGCAAGACGAGGGCAAGACGAGAGCCACUAUUUUAUAUCCACGUAUUUGGGUCACUAUUUGCAAAAAUGAGGUGAAAUGAUAGUAGAAG